rnacentral:sRNA from 1 species
GGAGAUAGAGGCCUUCACAGCAAACUUUAUCUGAGACAUCUCUCUAUCUUUUUUGGCAUAAUACGUGUUCAGAGAGCCAGUUUGCCACUGUACAACCUGAGAACUGUUACUUCCAUUCUGUUAGGUCAUCCAUGGCGAAGCUGUACAAAGGGCUGGCUUCCCAGUGUGCCAAUGCUGGGCAAGAUGCUUCCCCCACUGCAGGUCCUGAGGCUGUCCGUGACACUGGGAUCCACUCAGAAGAGUUGCUGCAACCCUACCCUUCUGCUCCCAGUUCUGGCCCUGCCGUCACGAGAUGCAUUUAGAAGAUACUACCAGAUUCUGUCCCAAAGAAGAAAGAGAAAGUGAACAAACAUCUUUCAGCGAUCAAAAUCCCAGGCAAGACCAGAAGGGGGGCUUUCGCAGCUCCUUCCGCAAGCUCUUUAAAAAGAAGUCCAGUGGAUCAGAAUACAGGGAAAAAACUAAUGAGAAUCCCUCAAUGGAUCCUUCACCCACCAAACAAGAUUUCUUCAGAAACCGACUUGCUCUUGCAAAUGACCUUGACCAAGGAACAGCUGUGUAAAACAUACUUAAAGUUGUAUUGUCAAGUGGUAAGAUGAGGAUAAAAAGCUUGUAUAUAUCUGUGUAGGAAUAUAUAUCUAUAUCUAUAUCUAUAU